rnacentral:sRNA from 1 species
UGUAGUAACAACUAGAACCGCAACCGGAUUUUAAAAGCCUAAGUAUUGUAUCCUUGUUGGAAGAUACAAAGACAAAGACUCAUACGAACUUCGGCUACACCAUCAAAGCUUUGAGAAGCAAGAAAAAGUUUGGUUAGUGUUUUGGAGUCGAAUAUGACUUGAUGUUAUGUGUAUGAUUGAGUAUAAGAACUUAAACCGUAAAUGGGUCUUAAAAGC